rnacentral:rRNA from 1 species
AGGGCGGGACACGUGGUAUCCUGUCUGAAUAUGGGGGGACCAUCCUCCAAGGCUAAAUACUCCUGACUGACCGAUAGUGAACCAGUACCGUGAGGGAAAGGCGAAAAGAACCCCGGCGAGGGGAGUGAAAAAGAACCUGAAACCGUGUACGUACAAGCAGUGGGAGCACGCUUAGGCGUGUGACUGCGUACCUUUUGUAUAAUGGGUCAGCGACUUAUAUUCUGUAGCAAGGUUAACCGAAUAGGGGAGCCGAAGGGAAACCGAGUCUUAACUGGGCGUUAAGUUGCAGGGUAUAGACCCGAAACCCGGUGAUCUAGCCAUGGGCAGGUUGAAGGUUGGGUAACACUAACUGGAGGACCGAACCGACUAAUGUUGAAAAAUUAGCGGAUGACUUGUGGCUGGGGGUGAAAGGCCAAUCAAACCGGGAGAUAGCUGGUUCUCCCCGAAAGCUAUUUAGGUAGCGCCUCGUGAAUUCAUCUCCGGGGGUAGAGCACUGUUUCGGCAAGGGGGUCAUCCCGACUUACCAACCCGAUGCAAACUGCGAAUACCGGAGAAUGUUAUCACGGGAGACACACGGCGGGUGCUAACGUCCGUCGUGAAGAGGGAAACAACCCAGACCGCCAGCUAAGGUCCCAAAGUCAUGGUUAAGUGGGAAACGAUGUGGGAAGGCCCAGACAGCCAGGAUGUUGGCUUAGAAGCAGCCAUCAUUUAAAGAAAGCGUAAUAGCUCACUGGUCGAGUCGGCCUGCGCGGAAGAUGUAACGGGGCUAAACCAUGCACCGAAGCUGCGGCAGCGACGCUGAUGCGUUGUUGGGUAGGGGAGCGUUCUGUAAGCCUGUGAAGGUGUGCUGUGAGGCAUGCUGGAGGUAUCAGAAGUGCGAAUGCUGACAUAAGUAACGAUAAAGCGGGUGAAAAGCCCGCUCGCCGGAAGACCAAGGGUUCCUGUCCAACGUUAAUCGGGGCAGGGUGAGUCGACCCCUAAGGCGAGGCCGAAAGGCGUAGUCGAUGGGAAACAGGUUAAUAUUCCUGUACUUGGUGUUACUGCGAAGGGGGGACGGAGAAGGCUAUGUUGGCCGGGCGACGGUUGUCCCGGUUUAAGCGUGUAGGCUGGUUUUCCAGGCAAAUCCGGAAAAUCAAGGCUGAGGCGUGAUGACGAGGCACUACGGUGCUGAAGCAACAAAUGCCCUGCUUCCAGGAAAAGCCUCUAAGCAUCAGGUAACAUCAAAUCGUACCCCAAACCGACACAGGUGGUCAGGUAGAGAAUACCAAGGCGCUUGAGAGAACUCGGGUGAAGGAACUAGGCAAAAUGGUGCCGUAACUUCGGGAGAAGGCACGCUGAUAUGUAGGUGAAGCGACUUGCUCGUGGAGCUGAAAUCAGUCGAAGAUACCAGCUGGCUGCAACUGUUUAUUAAAAACACAGCACUGUGCAAACACGAAAGUGGACGUAUACGGUGUGACGCCUGCCCGGUGCCGGAAGGUUAAUUGAUGGGGU